rnacentral:rRNA from 1 species
CACGUAGGGCGCAAGCGUUGUCCGGAAUUAUUGGGCGUAAAGAGCUCGUAGGCGGUCUGUUGCGUCUGCUGUGAAAACCCGGGGCUUAACCCCUGGCUUGCAGUGGAUACGGACAGACUAGAGGUAGGUAGGGGAGAAUGGAAUUCCCGGUGUAGCGGUGAAAUGCGCAGAUAUCGGGAGGAACACCGGUGGCGAAGGCGGUUCUCUGGGCCUUACCUGACGCUGAGGCACGAAGGCCAGGGGGAGCGAAAAGCGGGG